AGAGCCAAUCGAAUUCCAUGAGCAUUUAAGGUAAAGCCCCGAGUCUGAUUUUAUAGGACGCGAUGGCCAAGUAUGUUUUCCAUUAGAAACCCGGGCCCCUUUAAUGGCUUAAUUGCAACCUAACGAGCAGCGGAGAUGGUUUUAUGUCACAGCGCGGACCAGAGCGGUCACCGAAGGGCGUCUCUCUUCUCCCUCCGUGAAAGACGACAGCCGGGCUCCGCGGCAGCGGUCCCCGGUGGGAGCGAGACGAGCAAGCGGGGACUCGGCCAGACGCUCCAGGGAUCCCGGGCACGUUUCUCGGAACGGGCGGUGGAGCCUCCUCGGAGCUGCUGAUUCACUCCCUGGGAGACAACCCACACCAAGCGUUUCCUUUGGAAACUCUGUCGGGCUUGUUUCUAAUAAAAAUAGUAAUUGUGGUAA